UACAGAGGUCCCAAGCGUUGUCCGGAUUUAUUGGGCGUAAAGAGCGUGUAGGCGGCCAGGUAGGUCUGCUGUGAAAACUCGAGGCUCAACCUCGAGACGUCGGCGGAAACCAUCUGGCUAGAGUCCGGAAGAGGAGAGUGGAAUUCCUGGUGUAGCGGUGAAAUGCGCAGAUAUCAGGAAGAACACCCGUGGCGAAGGCGGCUCUCUGGGACGGUACUGACGCUGAGACGCGAAAGCGUGGGGAGCGAACAGG
rnacentral:rRNA from 1 species